UACGAAGGGGGCUAGCGUUGCUCGGAAUUACUGGGCGUAAAGCGCACGUAGGCGGCUUCUUAAGUCGGUGGUGAAAUCCUGGAGCUCAACUCCAGAACUGCCUUCGAUACUGGGAAGCUUGAGUCCGGGAGAGGCGAGUGGAACUGCGAGUGUAGAGGUGAAAUUCGUAGAUAUUCGCAAGAACACCAGUGGCGAAGGCGGCUCACUGGCCCGGUACUGACGCUGAGGUGCGAAAGCGUGGGGAGCAAACAGG
rnacentral:rRNA from 1 species